AUUUCAUUGACUCAUUCAAUUUUCAUUCACCAUCCGUAAUUUCAUCAUAACCUUUGCAGACCUUAAAUCGUACGAUUUGCUCGCUACCAAUAAAAAAACAAAGAGUGCGCGGUCGAGAAAAACACCAACCAACCACAUGAGAUUACGUGAAAAGAUCGACCCAACUAGUAAGACGAAAAGAAAGAAAUCCAAAAUACAAUUGAAGAACUCAUGAACGACAGCACUAUGAAGAACCCAGACGGAAGCGAAAAGAUGUUACCAACGGAAAUGAAAAACUCUCAGGAUAUCAUCAUUUGUAUGGAAGAGGCCCGUUGCGAAGAGAUGCCAUUUGAAUGCCAGAACCUCAGUUGUCGCAAAGUCUCGUGUUAUGUUCAUUGCGGUCAUCAUGUUCGGCAUCGCUCUGUGUGUAUUUGUUCUUAUCCCACUGUUUAAGUGGCGAUCGUGAUUUGCAAAAUGCGUGGGAGUUGCUAUGAAGGAUUCAUUAUCACGUAGAUUUCAUAGAAGUUUGACUUUUGACGGAAUAAUGCCUUCAAUUAGAUAAUUGCGGUUAGUAAAUGUAAUUUGUUAC